UCUAAAUCACACAAAAUCUGAUUAGCAUUUGUACUGCAAAGACAGCGUACAUUACAGAAUGCCAAUCAUUACAACAUAUUGUUCCAUUCACAAAUAUGCACUGCAACAGCAUGAUAUAUAUACACAACGAAAGAAGUGCCACCAUUAAUAGCAUAAAAACUCACAUUAUCAUCUGUUUAUUAAGCCAAAUAAGCUGAAUAUCAAAAAUUUUGUAUAGUCCGUGG